rnacentral:rRNA from 1 species
CCUACGGGAGGCAGCAGUGAGGAAUAUUGGUCAAUGGACGAGAGUCUGAACCAGCCAAGUAGCGUGAAGGAUGACUGCCCUAUGGGUUGUAAACUUCUUUUAUAUGGGAAUAAAACGUUCCACGUGUGGGAUUUUGUAUGUACCAUAUGAAUAAGGAUCGGCUAAAUCCGUGCCAGCAGCCGCGGUAAUACGGCGGAUCCGAGCGUUACCCGGAUUUAUUGGGUUUAAAGGGAGCGUAGGUGGAGUGUUAAGUCAGUUGUGAAAGUUUGCGGCUCAACCGUAAAAUUGCAGUUGAAACUGGCAGUCUUGAGUACAGUAGAGGUGGGCGGAAUUCGUGGUGUAGCGGUGAAAUGCUUAGAUAUCACGAAGAACUCCGAUUGCGAAGGCAGUUCACUGGACUGCAACUGACACUGAGGCUCGAAAGUGUGGGUAUCAAACAGGAUUAGAUACCCUUGUAGUC